rnacentral:rRNA from 1 species
CACGUAGGCACCAAGCGUUGUCCGGAUUUAUUGGGCGUAAAGAGCUCGUAGGCGGUUUGUCGCGUCUGCUGUGAAAACCCGAGGCUCAACCUCGGGCCUGCAGUGGGUACGGGCAGACUAGAGUGCGGUAGGGGAGAUUGGAAUUCCUGGUGUAGCGGUGAAAUGCGCAGAUAUCAGGAGGAACACCGAUGGCGAAGGCAGGUCUCUGGGCCACUACUGACGCUGAGAAGCGAAAGCAUGGGGAGCGAACAGG